UACGUAGGGGGCAAGCGUUGUCCGGAAUCAUUGGGCGUAAAGCGCGUGUAGGCGGCUAGAUAAGUCUGCUCUGAAAGCCCGGGGCUCAACCCCGGGAGGCGGGUGGAUACUGUCUAGCUCGAGUCCGGAAGAGGAGUGUGGAAUUCCUGGUGUAGCGGUGGAAUGCGCAGAUAUCAGGAGGAACACCAAUGGCGAAGGCAGAUAUCUGGGCCGUAACUGACGCUGAGGAGCGAAAGCGUGGGGAGCGAACAGG
rnacentral:rRNA from 1 species